UACGAUAUACACACAUUACUGCCAUACAGGAGGAGACCAUUUUUUUCUUUCUUUUCUACACACAGAAAAGCACACACGAGAGAUUUUUCAUUUUUUACACAUAGAGACACGCAUGAACACCACACACACUCAGUAAAGAGAAACGAAAAAUGGAGGGCGUUUGACGGAAUUCAAUGAAGGAAUAGGAAAGCAGCGAGAAACCAAGCUUCUGUUCAAGUUUUUUUUUUCGGCGACCUAGAUGCCGGACUCAGUUUAAGUCGUCAGUUGUUCGAAUCAGUCUCAUAAUCUCCAAAAUAUGGUUGUUUUCCUUUGAAUUCUAGAUGAAAUCUGAUCAAAAAUCGACCUGUCUCCGUCGUUUUUCCCGUUGCCGUUCAUUUUGCCGGAGCUUCGGCCUCGUUGGUUGCCAUUGUUUUUUUUUCCUUCUUCUUUUCCAAAAUUUUGAUUUUGAUACUCGUUAUUUCCUCGCGG
rnacentral:lncRNA from 1 species